UACGGAGGGUGCAAGCGUUAUCCGGAAUCACUGGGUUUAAAGGGUGCGUAGGCGGCUAAAUAAGUCAGAGGUGAAAGCUUGCAGCUUAACUGCGAAAUUGCCUUUGAUACUGUAUAGCUUGAAAGGAGCUGAGGUCAGCAGAAUGUGGCAUGUAGCGGUGAAAUGCAUAGAUAUGCCAUAGAAUACCAAUUGCGAAGGCAGCUGGCUGGGCUUACUUUGACGCUGAGGCACGAAAGCGUGGGGAUCGAACAGGAUUAGAUACCCUGGUAGUCCACGCCCUAAACGAUGUUCACUCGAUAUCUGGUCUUCGGGCUGGGUGUCUAAGCGAAAGCGAUAAGUGAACCACCUGGGGAGUACGCCCGCAAGGGUGAAACUCAAAGGAAUUGACGAGGGUCCGCACAAGCGGUGGAGCAUGUGGUUUAAUUCGAUGAUACGCGAGGAACCUUACCUGGGCUAGAAUGCGAGUGCUGAUCCGUGAAAGCGGAUUUCCUUCGGGACACGAAGCAAGGUGCUGCAUGGUUGUCGUCAGCUCGUGCCGUGAGGUGUUGGGUUAAGUCCCGCAACGAGCGCAACCCUUGUGUCCAGUUGCCAGCAAGUAAAGUUGGGGACUCUGGACAGACUGCCGGCGUAAGCCGAGAGGAAGGUGGGGAUGACGUCAAA
rnacentral:rRNA from 1 species